AGACACAGAGAAGUCAUCUACCUGCUGGUUGCCUCCCCAAGUGGCCAUAAUGACUGUGGCUGGGCCAGGCUGCAGCCAGGAACCAGGAACUCCAUCUGGGUCCCCCUUGUGGGUACAGGGCCCAAGCACCUGGGCCAUCUUCCCUGCUUUCCCAGGCGCAUUAACAGGAAGCUGCAUUGGAAGUGGAGCAGCUGGGACUCACACUGGUGCCAUAUGGGAUGCUGGCCUUGCAGGCGGUAGCUUUACCCACAACACCACAGUGCUGGCCCUGAUAAAUUUGACUAUGUAAAAAAUAGGCUUGGGAGCAGACAUUGUGGUGCAGUGGGUUAAGCUGCCUCUCAGGACCCUGCAUCCUAUACUGGAGUGUCAGUUUAAAUCCUGGCUGCUCCAUUCUGACUCGGCUUCCUAACACACUAGGAAGGCAGUGGGUGAUUCCCAAGUACUUGAGUCCCUGCUGCUCACGUGGGAGACUUCGAUGCAGUUCUAGGCUCCUGGCUUUGGCCUUACCCAGCCCCAUUUGUUGUGGGCAUUGGGAGGGGAGUGAACCAGUGGAUGGAAGACCUUUGUGUGUGUGUGUGUGUGUGUGUGUGUGUGUGUGUCACUCUGCCUUACUGGCUGGGACUGAUCUGGAUAGAAAACAGGAGAUUCUUUGGGUCUCCCACGUGGGUGUAGGGUCCCCAGCACCUGGGCCGUCCUCCGCUGCUUGCCCAGGCACAUUAGCAGGGAGCUGAUUGGAAGUGGAGCAGCCGGGAUGGGAAUCAGUGCCCAUCUGGGGUGUAGGUGUUGCAGGCAGAGGCUUAGCCAUGUCCAUCACAAUUCAACCCCCAAAAAUCUUUGAAAAAAGUAGGUUUUACCAAGCAAAAAUUACUGUAAAAAGUCAAAAGACAAAGGAGCAGUAUUUUCAACGUGUAACAAACAGAGCUCCUGUCCUUGCUCGAGCAGCCCGCGUGUUAGGAGAAUGCCUCAAGGAGUGUAGACAGGAGGGAGCAAGAAGCGUAGACAGGAGGGGCCCGGAGUCCAGGCUCCUGUCGGGUGGAGCGGGGGCACAGGCAGCUCCUGGGCUUCGCCAUGUUCCCGCUGAAAUAGCCGUCUGAAUUCUCCGUCUCCCCAUCUCUGAAUUGCACACCGAGACCUCCCCGGAUGUGGCUGAGCUACCAAGAAAUCCCUGUUGGAGGUUUCACUGGCCGGAGUGUGUGUUUUCUCAGGCCGCCUUAACACAGCACCACCCACCAGGGGCUUGAAGCAGCGUGAGGUUCUCUGCUGAGUUCUGCAGGCCGGGGUUGAGAGUCCGAGCCUCAGCCCUGCGCCCUCGGAAGGCACCACAGCGGGACGGGACCCCUCGCCUGCACCUCGGAGCUUCCUGGGCGGGCACCCUUUGCCUGGAGGCGGCGGACCUCUGCCUCUUCCUGUGUUCUGCAUCCCUGCAUUCUCUCUUUAUCUCGUGUGAGAUGUAGGGCCCGCCCUCUACCACUGAUGAUUUUGCCUUGAGAUCCUUAACUAACGACUUCUGCAAAGACCUUGUUUUGGACAAGAUCAGGGCCUGGGGCUUGGUGUGCAUUUAAGACACUGCCGAGCUCCUGCGCCCCGUAAGAAGAACCUGGGUUCCCGUCUCAGCUCUGCUCUGGAUUCCAGCAGCCUGCUAAGGCACCUGCGAGGCAGCAGAUGAUGGCUCAGGUGCUUGGGCCUCUGCCACCCAUGUGGGACAGCCAGAUGGAGGUCCUGGUCCUGGCUUCAGCCUGGCCCGGCCCGGUCCUGGCAAUGGGGGAGUGACCAGUGGACGGGAGAUUUGUCUCUCUGCUUCUCUCUGUCCCUGUUUCUCAGAUGGAAUGAAGGAAGGAAGGAAGGAAUACGAUUGGGGUGAGUGCCCAGCAGUUGAGAUGCUGGUUAAGAAGCCUGCAUUGCAGGCUGGAGGAUCCGGGUGCAAAUGUUGGCUCUGCUCCAACCCCAGCGUCCUGCUGAUGGGCGCCCUGGGAGGCGGCAGUGACGGCUCAACUAGCUGAGGCCCUGCACGCACGUGGGAGACCAAGACUGAGUUCCUGGCACCUGCGUUCCCUGGGGCCUACGUGGGCAUCAGGGGAGUGAAUGACUGGAUGGGAAUUUCUCUCUCUCUCUAAUAAAUAACUAAAAUCAUACACUGAAUUCUGGGAGGAACACGCCUCCACCUGUUUCCCUGAGCCUUUUCAGUGGCAGAUGAUAGGAAGUUCCGUGCAGCUCGCUCAAACAAGUCAUCGAUAGCAGUCACAGCCAUCCACACGCAGAAAUCCAUCCCUGCGCUUAGCAGCCUAAGCAGAAAACUCAUGCAUGUCGUUGGCUUUGACCACAUUACAAGUCCGACUCCAAGCCCAUUGCUGCUGUCAGCCUGGGGUAUUUGUCUUAGCUCCACAGCCAGGGGGAGGUUCCGUUCUGUUGAGAGCACAGCCUGACGUUGUCCUCAGAUCCUGUGACUAGGAGAAGGGUGAAUGGGGGCCAGGAAAACGCAAGCCCUCCACUGGAAUCCACUAGGUCUUCCCCGUGGCCCGCGAGCUCUUGGUUGUCAUGUCUGCAUUCCAGGGCCUUGGAGAGCAUCAGGCUCUCAAGUAAAUAUUUGAGUUGUUUUUGAAUAUUUAACGUGAUUCAGUCUCUGAGGACUUAAUCCAUCCUAAAUUGGAGGCCCAGCAUCUGAACCAUGGUGACCCCUCCCAUGGAGAUACUGCUUUUCGUCAGGCCCUGUUUAGGUAGACCAGCUGGCCAUCUGUUAUGUAACCAUUCACUUAGAAACUUCCGUGAAAGGGAACCGAGAAGGGUUCGGCUCAUGUUUAGGCAAGAAACAGAAGUGGAGGUGAAAUUGAGGAACAAAGAAGGACGUCUCCAGCUCUCCGCUGUGUCCUAACACACUUGCAAACAUCACCGCCGAGUUAGAGCAGUUACCCCUGGGACCUUGGUGGAGAACACAGGAUUCUGGAUUUAGCCCUGUGUCGUCCAGUGGGGUAGCCUGAAGUGUUGUGCCUUGAACACCCACAGAGGGACCUUGUGUCCCAAACACGACAAGAGCCGAUGCCUGGGGGGUGAAAUCACAGCCCUAAGCCAGACCACGCUGGACUCGGGAACCACACUGGGGGGUGAAAUCACAGCCCUAAGCCAGAGCACGCUGGACUCGGGAACCACACUGGGGGGUGAAAUCACAGCCCUAAGCCAGAGCACGCUGGACUUGGGAACCACACUGGGGGGUUAAUUUGCUGACCCAGAUGUAGCUUGCAGCCCACAAAACCUCAUGCCACAGCAAAGCGCUUUCUUGUGCUGAGCCAGCUGGUGGAGCGUGAUGUUGCAAUGGCUCAGUUCUCAGUAAGGGAUCUGAAGAAAGGGGCAGGGCCACAGCCCGAGCCCACAGCCCCGAGAGGUCUUCCUGUUUACUAUGUGGGUGAGAGGGGAACCUUCUGUCUGUGGGCCCUGGGGUUUCGACAGAAGGCACAGGCUGGGACUUGGGUUUGAACUGUGUGUACACAGUCCACACUUGAUGGCCCGGCAGCUGGACUUGGGGUGAGACUUCAGAUUUAAUUCCAUGGCCCCAAAGCGUGUUUGGAAAUUGGCCUUUAGACUGUGUGAACAGGGCCAGCACUGGGGCUCGGCAGGUUAAGCUGCCACCUGCAACACUGGAAUCCCAUAUGAGUGCCAGUUCAAGUCCCGGCUGUGUCACUUCCAAUCCAGCCCCCUGCUGCUGUGGCUGGGAAAGCCAGGGAGGGUGGCCCAAGUCCUUGGGCCCCUGCCACCCACGUAGGAGGCGGAUGAGGCGCCUGCUCCUGGCUGCAGCCUGCUAUUGCAGCCAUUUGGGGAGUGAACCAGCGCAUGGGAGAUUCUCUCUCUUUCUCACUCUGCCUUUCAAAUAAAUAAUAAAUUUUUACCAGAAAAGACUGUGAACCAAGUCACAUUUCUCCUUGACUUCAAUUUUUUUUAAAAAAGAUGUAUUUAUUAUUUUAAAGGCAGAGAGACAUUGAUGUUCCCCCAAAUUCCCACAGUAGCUGGGACUGGGCCAGGCUGCAGCCAGGAGCCAGGAACGCCAUCCAGAGCUCACAUCAGCAGGAAGGUGGAUUGGAAACAGAGUAACUGGGACUCAGGCGGCCUCUGGACACAGGAUGCAGGCCUCCCAGUGCGUGUGAGCCCGCCGCGUCACCUGCUGCGUCACCUGCUGCGUCACCCGCCGCGUCACCACGCCUGCCCUUGUCUACACUGGCAGCUAGGAACAGGUUUGCGUGGAGCCGAGGGCUGUGCGGGCUGGGAGGUCUCCCUGUGAAACAGCAGCUGCUCGGUGUGGACCUCGCCUCUCCCUCAAGCCCCGCCAACAUGGUGAGUUGUUUCAGGUAUUCUAUUGCUGUGAUGAGAAGCUGCCUCGUGCAGGGGUGAGGCGCUCAUUCUUCCCAUCCUGUCUCCUGGACACCGGCAGACAAGUUUAAACCUGAGAGCGAGUCUGGGGAACUCUGCUGAGGACGCUGACCACUGAGAAAGGGAGAAGGAGACCCCGUCGAACGUGAGUGCCCAACGUGCAUUCACAUCUUGUUUAUGUCAAGGUUUGAGGAACGUCAAGGAAGAAAGAAGUGGCGAUUCAGCCGGGCCCCAGCGAUGCCAAGCGAUGCCAAGCGAUGCCAAGCGAUGCCAAGCGAUGCCAAGCGAUGCCAGAUGACUUAGGAGACCUGGAGGAAAACCUUGCAAAAAGAGGCAGAUGUCCUGAGUGCGCACGGAUGAGACACCCCAGGACAGCCGGGAGGCCAGUGAGCCCUGGCGAAGAUGGCACGGGACAGGCACGGGGCUGGGCGCGGCUGAGGUGGCUUUGGGGAGCUGAGAUUUUACUCCAGAGGCAUUGGCAAGCUGCCGUUACUUCUUUCUUUUGCACUUAAAUCCAUUUUUAUUUAUAGUACAGCAAUAAAGUACGCAGCGUGACGAGUUUCAACACCCAGGCACACACUCACACAGCCGUCACCCAGAUGAGGAAUGUUCCUGGCUUCUGCGAGGUGCUCUACUAGCUACGGGAAAGCAAGUGCAAAGGAAACAGGCGAGGUGCUGGUGGAGGAUUUAGUGAAGCCCAAAGUAUUAUUUAUCGAUGCUGAAAGUAUCAAUGAGCUGCUACCCUUCUUCCUUACCAGGCCUCUGGAGUCCAGUGUUUGCUUUGCACUCACCGCCUGGCCAGUGUAGCCAGCCACGACCUGGGUGGCCAGGCACUCGGGUACUGGACAGCGCAGGUGCAGAAGGCUGGGGCUCCAAGGCUGAGCAGCAAGCACUGAGAGGAACAGAAACUGUCCGAGGCAGGCCUCGCCUGUAUUCACAGUGUAACUGCUUUGUUUUUCUGAAAGCAAAGUUCGCUCACGCCCAGUCUCAGUUCCCUAACCCUGUAUCCCCUAAGGUCUCAGAUUACUCAACACAGGAUACUGCCACAGGGUCUGGUUCCCUCCCAGGCUGCCUUGUGAAGGGGGAGUUCUGCACCGCCCGAGGCAGCAGGCACAGCUGAAGGACGGGUCCUCUCCCCAGCCUCCAGCCUCCAGCCUCCUCCCUGAGUUGGCGCAGAUGUUCACAUGGGAGCCUUCCUCAGGCUCUGGGCUAAAGCUCGCAGGCAGCACAGUGCGUGCCCGGGGCCGUCCGAACCCCCGUCCACGCCCAUGGUCCCCUGGCCGCUGAGCCUCAUCCGCGGGGCCCCAGAGGCCCAGAGCCUUCCAUGGCCAGGUGGCAGGACUCCGCGGGCCUGGCUGGGCGAAUCCCCGGGGAGCAACCCUCCUGUUGACAGCAUCACGGUAGCCAGGGGCAGCGGGACGGCGGGGGCCGCACUGCUGCUUCCUCAGGGCCGGGAUGGUGGCGGAGGCUCAGAUGCAGGCUUGAGGCCCCUUGGGUGUAGCCUACCUGAGGG